rnacentral:rRNA from 1 species
UAUAAGCUAAUUAUACGGUGAAACUGCGAAUGGCUCAUUAAAUCAGUUAUAGUUUAUUUGAUGGUCUUGUACUCGGAUACCUGUUGGAAUCCAAGAGCUAAUACGUGCGCAACUCCCGACUUCUGGAAGGGACGUAUUUAUUAGAUACAAAAUCAACAUCUUCAAAGUUGAGCCAUGAUAACUGAUCGGAUCGCAUGGCCUUGUGCCGGCGACGUUUCAUUCAAAUUUCUGCCCUAUCAACUGUCGAUGGUAGGAUAGAGGCCUACCAUGGUGGUAACGGGUGACGGAGAAUUAGGGUUCGAUUCCGGAGAGGGAGCCUGAGAAAUGGCUACCACAUCCAAGGAUGGCAGCAGGCGCGCUAAUUACCCAAUCCUGACACAGGGAGGUAGUGACAAUAAAUAACAAUACCGGGCUUUUUCAAGUCUGGUAAUUGGAAUGAGUACAAUCUAAAUCCCUUAACGAGGAUCAAUUGGAGGGCAAGUCUGGUGCCAGCAGCCGCGGUAAUUCCAGCUCCAAUAGCGUAUAUUUAAGUUGUUGCAGUUAAAAAGCUCGUAGUUGGAUUUCGGGUGGUGCGGGCCGGUCCGCCGUUUCGGUGUGCACUGGGCGCUCUUUCCUUUCUGCCGGGGACCGUUGGGUGUCUUAAUUGCCAUCCCUCGGGAGUCGGCGUUGUUACUUUGAAAAAAUUAGAGUGUUCAAAGCAAGCCAUCGCUCUGAAUACAUUAGCAUGGAAUAACAUGAUAGGACUCCGCUCUUAUUUUGUUGGUUUCCGAGACUGGAGUAAUGAUUAAGAGGGACAGUCGGGGGCAUCCGUAUUUCAUUGUCAGAGGUGAAAUUCUUGGAUUUAUGAAAGACGAACUUCUGCGAAAGCAUUUGCCAAGGAUGUUUUCAUUAAUCAAGAACGAAAGUUGGGGGCUCGAAGAUGAUCAGAUACCAUCCUAGUCUCAACCAUAAACGAUGCCGACUAGGGAUUGGCGGAUGUUCCUUAGAUGACUCCGCCAGCACCUUAUGAGAAAUCAUUAAGUUUUUGGGUUCCGGGGGGAGUAUGGUCGCAAGGCUGAAACUUAAAGGAAUUGACGGAAGGGCACCACCAGGCGUUGUUUGCUACAAGCUCUAAGCGCCAGUCAGCGAUUGAUGGACCGCCACUGCCCUUGGCCCAUCGCAAGAUCCGCUGGCUAGUUUUCUCCUUUGACAAAAGCGAGAAAGCGACACUCUCGAAGUGCUGGGAAGCUUUUCGAGCGCUCGUACCAAGCUGCUUUGCAGAAAGCAGUGGCCGCUCAUUCUUGGCGGGUAUGGUGACAACCGAGCGCUUGGCAGAAAGCCAUCAGCAGCGAAGCCCUUUGCCUCUGACCAGGCGGGGGAACGUUCAACGACUAGGUGGGAGUGGGCACGCCUGGCAGUAGACUGCUUGUGCGUGCUUAAGGUAUAGUCUGGCCCAUGCGCAAGCAUGCCUCCGAGACGACGACUCCUUGCGGGGUCUGGAGCUCGGGGGGAAGAGCGAUUUGAUUUAUCGUGCCUUCACACCAUGUAGAAAGCUCCAGGACACGUCCGAUCCCUGCAGAUAAGCUACAUUGGGCGAGGUUAGUACUGUGUUGGGUGACUACACUGGAACACCUCGUGAGGCACGUUUUCCCUUUUAUCAAUACAUCCUCUUUGGACCAACCGGGAGCCUGCGGCUUAAUUUGACUCAACACGGGGAAACUUACCAGGUCCAGACAUA